CGGAAAACCCAUCUCUUCCAAGAAGACUGGUAACUAUUUGAUGGAGAUGAGAAUGCCAAUGAAGAGAUAAAGGAAUUUUGAAAACAGACCGUGGAGAGUGAGGAUGAAUUCAACGCUUCGCUAAUUUGAUGAUGUGAUAUAGGAGGCUUUGGCACAGAGAAUAGGAACUCAUCAUAGUUCUUGAGUGCGUGCCUUCCAGUUUGGAAACACAGGAGGAAGCCUUUACCACGUGCUUGACCAAUGGGCUUCUGCGGCUAACGGUGCCUUCAAAAGGGCCUCUCCUACAGAACAGGACUCCUGGAUAGGUUCAUAGCAAGACAGGCUGUUCCAUAGAGAGCCGGGUUUUUGUUCCCCACCUCGAUCAGGAUGGAGAGGCGGAUAACACAGAAAAAUGACAAAAGCACAGACCCCCCCUUCUAGCUCUUACUGGGGGGGGGGACUGAAUUAGUGCAGUUGUGCAGACCUCCUCGAAACAAAGUAAACAACGAAGCUGAAGGAAUGCCUGCAGCAGAGGAGCCUCCCCUUCCGGGCUGCAAACCAGCCCAUGUUUACUGGCUGGACCUGUAAAAGCACGUUCUUUCAGGAGUAUACAAAACAAAACAGCAUAUGCAGCCAAGUCAGAUGGCUUCUUCAGUCUCUCUCUCUCUCCACAAAGUUUACUGUCAAGUCAAUUCAUAUUACAAAAUCCGAAUCAAGAGCUUGUCAUGCCUUUGGGACUGCAAAAGAGCUGAAGGGCCAGACAGGUACCACUGUUGUGAUUCAUUCCUGCCAAAACACCACCAAAGGGCUCUGUGAACCCUUUCCCUCCAAUUCAAGAGAGGUUUGGGCAGAACCAUCCAAUGAUACAUCUUUCUUACCCAUAUCCUUGCUCAAGGGUGACCCCAAGACAUUUUGCUCCCUGAGGACAAGAUGGCGGCCCAUCCCCUGAACAGAAGCUGGCUGGACUGGCGGUUGAAAUUUACUUCAACACUUGCCAAGGGAUAGUGACCUCCACCACACCUAAGCAGCAAGCUGGUUUAAGGGGCCCAGGUCAAGAGAUCUAUCCACCAACACAGGGAAACAAUUGGGUAAUCCAGGAGAAACAGCUGGAAGGCUGCCACUGUCGUCUCCUAGCACUUUCCACCUGAGGCAAUCGCCUCAUUCUGCCUAACGGUAGGGCCAACCCUGCCUGGCUCUCACAAGGAAGUGAGCAACCAAGGUACAUAAUGGGAGGGGGCUUCUACCACCUUUGCUCCUAUUCAUACAGAUGGGAGCCCUUUGCCCAAAUUGUAGUCUACAUGAGAGAAGCUAGUUGAGAUGCAUAACGGAGUGUCCUUCAGGUGGUGGCCACACAGGCCCUCCAUCAGCACUCCACAUCCCCAGGUAGAUAUGAAGGGCCCAAAGGUGCUGCCACCUGUUUCCAGAUUGGGCCCAAUCCUAGUCGCCCAUUAACCCAGCUCAGUUUUUACCUGGCAGAGAACAACUGUGGGCCACCUGCCAUUUUAAAUUUCCCACAAUGUCCAGAACACUAAUUUGGUCCCUUGCGGGAAAUGUAAGUGGCAGGUGGCUCAAAGCUGCCUGCUUCCCAUUGUGCGACUGGUGCUGUCCAUCAUUACUGGUAUGUCUGCCCAGCAGGAGAGAGGCCAGGGCCACUUACAAACCUUCAGCUAGCCCUGGGACCAGCUAAGGAGCCUCUGGGAACCAGAUUAAAGACAUAAUCUUAUGCAUGUCCUACAAUUCACAGCAUUCCCCCAGCCAGCACUGUUCGUUGGGGAAUGCUGGGAGUUGUAGGACAUUCUUCUGUCUAAACAUGCAUAAGAUUGCAUGUGUGCUUUUUCAAAGUUUGAACAUGAAUCUGCUAAAAAAAAAUCACUUUUUGACCCAGGACAUCCACUCAACUAUGUGCUGCAAUUAGGCACCAGAGGUGAAUUGAAUCAAACUCUGGUGCAACUCAGGAUAUAAUGGCUACAUCAGAGAUGCACAAACUCAAGCCAGGGGGCUCAAUAUGGCCCACCAGGGUUGCCCAGAUGGCCAUGCUCCCUUUCCCUGGUCUCACUUUCCCCUCCCCCCCCAAAAAAACAACACACCAAUAUUUUCGUAGUUUCCGAACUUCUGUGCAGUUCUUCCCCCAUGUGGAAAGGUUGACAUGCCUCUCCUAAUCUUUAGUUACUGGCAGUAAGAGCUUUAAGCUAAAAGAUGCUGGACUUUUGCCCAUGACCCUUUAGCCCCAACCCCCACUGACAUGCGGCCCCCGAGAGCUUUUCUGGAAUGGAAUUCGGCCCUUCAACACCCUAUACGACAGACCACCCAUGAGCUCAGAUCUAACCCAAGAUUCUAUGAAAAAGGCAUCCUAGCAAGUCAUGAUGCACAGGUAAGCAAGAGAGCUUUGGCUAUUGGGCAGUAUAGCAAUGCAAUAAAUAAAU